rnacentral:lncRNA from 1 species
CAUCGCCCAUAUACUAGAUUGCUCUACUCUUUAUUCCCAUAUUAUCACUCAUUGUUGUCUUACCUUUAAUAUUGUUCUUAUUCAAUUCUACCAUCUUUCCUAUUUACACCUACCAAUCUAUCUAGGUUAAGUUAGAGCAUAGAUCAGUUCGCCUGUUUCCCUAUGGAUACGAUAAAACCUUUAAUCGGGUAAAAGCUACAACGGUAUCUGUGCGCUUGCGAAUUUAUCUGUGUGCGUAUAAAUACCAUAGUACACUCUAGUGCCAUGCUGGGGACGACAGCCUAGUAUUCAAGUGGUGUUAACAAGUGUCAACAGUCUUGUCAUGCUUUUAAAACCAAGAUCACGUACACACUUCAGUUCACAUAUGCAUUAUUCCUGCAUUGAGUGUAAACACCAACAUACACCAUAUCCAUAGGAUAAAGCCCAUCAUUAAAGCCCUAAGUUCUUACUAUUACCUCUCUUAUCAUUUAUUGUAUUCAAAGGAUACAUGUGGCUAUGCAAAAAUAUAAAAGAAGAAAAGGGAGUAAAAGAUGGACAAGUGCCCCAGUAAUUAAAAAAAUGGGUACUAGAUGCCUGCCUCCCUGAAAAAAAUAUAAAAAAUAAUAAUAAAGAUAGCCCAUGUUUUUCUGGCGAAAAUUUCCAAGAUCAAAAGAGAGAUUUAUCCUCAAGGAGCAAAAGUAGAAAUAGAAAUUAGCCACAAAUACCACAAAUGCACUCAUCCACCAUAUUCCACACACAUGCACACCUUGGUUUCAUUGUAUGCCUCAAUUCUCUAUGGAUCCAUUAGUUGACUUUACAAUACAUGCAUUGCAAGUAUGCCUAUCCUUGUUAUUGGCACUCCUAUAAGAUCUACCAUAUAUACCUUUAGCUGUAGGAAGCAUAACAUCAUUAAUGCCUCAAGAGAGAACCAUAAAUACCACAUACAUUGAGAGACUUGAGGGUGUCAGACAAUUAAGCUCUAAGUUUUAUUCUAAAAACUUAUAAAAACUCCAGA